GGGAUGUGGACGGAGGGUCCCAGUGGCAGAGGCAGUCUGCUGAGCAGAACAGGGGAUGUGGACGGAGGGUCCCAGUGGCAGAGGCAGUCUGCUGAGCAGAACAGGGGAUGUGGAUGGGGUCCCAGUGGCAGAGGCAGUCUGCUGAGCAAAACAGGGGCCGAGGCCAAGUCACACAGGGGAUGUGGACGGAGGGUCCCAGUGGCAGAGGCAGUCUGCUGAGCAGAACAGGGAUGUGACGGAGGUCCCGUGCAAGUCAGUCGCUGAUCAUGUAAAGGGGCCGAGCAAGCACAUGUACAGGGAAUGUGGACGGAGGUCAGUGCAAUGGCAGUCGCUGAGCAUACGGACGAGGCAAUCCACACAGGGGAGUGGAGAGGGUCCAGUGGCAGAGGCAGUCUGCUGAACAGAACAGGGGCCAGAGGCUAAGUCCACAUGGGGAUGUGACGAGGUCCAGUGUCAUGGAGUGCAUGUCUGCUGACGAACAUGGC
rnacentral:lncRNA from 1 species